AGCACCAACAUAAGUAACUUAUGUUAGCGAUCUAUAAGGAAGCCUUUAUUCUCCACGCUCAUAAAAUUGUAAACAGACACAAAAGUGCACUGCAUCCAUAAAACACCAUGGCGGUCGAGGAUGCUGAGCUCCUGAGACGACUCAGAGGAUGGGGCCGGACGUCAGGCCGGGCUGCACACCUCUCGGGCGAUGCGGAAAGUGCUAACUGCCAGAGGAGAAGCCGAAGUUGCUCACUCUGGGGCAACCGUGUCAUGAGACAGCCCAGUGGAGAAGUCUACAUUGUGGGGAACUCCCUCCAGGCAGCCUGGAGCCAACAACCAGCCAGGAAUUGAGCCCUCAUUCCAUCAGCUCCUACCAACAGCCAGGGAGUGAGCCGACAUUGAGCUGAGCCGUGCGUCCCCCUCAGGUGAGUCCUCAGAUGAAACCACAGCCCUGGCAACAGCUCAGCUCAGCCACACCUGGGUCCCUGACUCACAGAAACAGGGAGAUCAUAAAUGUUUGUUGUGCUCAGUUGCCAAAUCGGGGGGUCGUUUAUUCGGCAGUAAUAAAUAACUAAUACAUGUUAGGUGGAACCACAUGAAAUUAUGGCUUAGUGAGUUCAAAAAAUAGUUAAAUACCAACAGUUUUCUAUAGGUCAAACUAAAUGCUUUAUUCUACCCAUUGCAUGUAACAUCUUGCAAACUGCAAAGUGCUAUUGAAACUCACUCCAAAAAAUGUGGAAAUGGGCCCUGAGGGGCUAAGUGAUUUCCCAGAAGUUACAGUCUGCAUGCGUUGGAGUCAGGACGCAAACCCACGACAUCAAGACCCAUCCUCCUAAGUGCGGCGUGCCCCCUGUGUGCCAGGAAUCAUGGUCGGCACCAGGGGACAAAUGAAAGGGCCACCGCCAUUGCCAUCAAGAAGACAGAAGGGCUGCCCAACAGGCUUUAAACAAAGAGAAAGCCGGAACCACUGGAGCAGAGUUGAUCUGGGGAUCCCCGCAACACCCCCACGGACCAAAGGGUAAGCAUGAAACACACAGACACCUGAAUGUAAUUAUCUUGAAGCGAUCAGACCUCUGGUAUCUCUUCGAGGAGGCUGAUCCUGCCUCCAUCCCUCCGGUCUAUCAGUCACUCUCUCACAAUUAUUUGCCUUUUCUAAUCAGCAGGCAGGCUUCUGAAGCCCGUUCUUGAACACAUUUAUCAUCUCCAAUACUAUGUGCAGGGAAUCAAUUUUAUUUUCCCUUGCUGAGCCUACCAGCAUCUCGUUUGUAAUUAGAGAAGUACGCGUGAGGAAAAGGAUUUGUUGUUGCUAAAUUAGGUCAAAUGUGCUCUUCCUCGGAGUGUCUGGCACGUUUGCGAUGUGCCCUGCGUUGCUGGCUGUGGGCGGGCUCAGGCUGCGUCACCUUCCUUCCCUAA